CUCUGCCUCUUGACCAACCCUGGUGCUUCUCCAUGUGCCUUCAGUAGCAUGGCAUGACCCCUUCUCCUGGGAUCUACGGGGUUUUGACAUGUUGGCCAGGCUGGUCUCGAACUCCCAACCUCAAGUGAUCCUCCUGCCUUGGCCUCCCCAAACUGCUGGGAUUAUAGGCAUGAGCCACUGCACCUGGCCAAAAUCUGUAUUUUAAAAUAGAGUCUAAGCCCUUUCCCAAAAGCCACCAAUCAAAGAGAUCUUGAGUCUCCUGGUCACAGAGUUUCCUUCCAUUCAGGAGUAGCUACCAAGUAAAACCAGCUGAGACAAGAAAUGCCAGAAAAUCAAUGCUACGCUCUUUCUCCAAAGGAGCCUGCAAUCAAUGACUGAUGGGUGUAAUGGAUAUAUACCCGGCUCCCACAUCCCUGGGGUGGAAUAACUCAAAGGCUGUGUUAUACACUGAUUACCAAAGUUGCCAAAUGGAAUUAAGCUCCAGUGAGGCACCUGGACUACAUACCCUUUAAGCUAACUUUCCUUCCCCAAAUUACACCCUCACUCUCCACUGGUGUUCAAUGAGCUCAACUCCCAAAUAAAGCGC
rnacentral:lncRNA from 1 species